AGCAAUGUCAUGGGGGGCAGUGAGGGUGUGGGAGUGGGGAGAGACUGGGUGAGAAGCAAUGAUAGCAGAGGGGAUGUGGCAGUAUGUGUGCAGGGCUCAGGUGAGGAUGGGGAGGUCUCUGGUGUGAGGGGGCUGUGGCGUGAGGGCAAGGGGAACAAACAAGUACUAGCACACAGAUGCUUUGUACGGGUUCAGCUAGUUUUGAAUACUUUGCUUAGGAGUGAGUCCUGGAGAAAACUGAAGCUCAGUGAGGCUGUAAAGGUAAAGUGUGCCAUCAAGUCAAUUUCGACUCCCGGCACCCACAGAGCCCUGUGGUUUUCUUUGGUAGAAUACAGGAAGGGUUUACCAUUGCCUCCUCCCGUGCAGUAUGAGAUGAUGCCUUUAAGCAUCUUCCUAUAUCGCUGCUGCCCGAUAUAGUACCAGCAGGGAUUCAAACUGGCAACCUUCUGCUUGUUAGUCAAGCAUUUCCCUGCUGUGAAGCCAAUAUUGUUAGAAUUAGAGGAAGACUGAUUCAGGACACCUUUUGAAUCACUGGAGGAAAUGGUGACACCUAGGAAAUUAAUUUGAUAUUGAUUACAAGUGAAUAUUGCUUCUUUUCUGUAUUAAGUCCAUGAAUUCUGUCAAGGUGAGUUCACAAAUCUGUUUGUUGUUUUGUACGUGGCCCCAAACAUAUAUCUCUGGGUGAUUCACAACAUAAAACAAAUUAGAACGAGAAUUAAAACGUUAAAACAAUUUAAACCACAGUUCCAGUUAAAAGCUUAGGUGAAUAAAUGUGUCUUUAAAGACUUUUUUAAAGCAGUCAGAUGGGGAGGCUCUUAUUUCAGCAGGGAGAGCAUUCCAAAGCCUUGGGGCACGUUGUGGUAUAAUUCUGAAAUGGCUGGAUGGAUUAGUUUGCCACAGAGAACAGCUUCUAAACCUUGGAUCCACAGAUGUUGUUGGACUACAACUCCCAUCAUCCCCAGGCACAAUUGUGCCUGGGGAUGUUGAGAGUUGUCAUCAGACAACAACUGGUGACACAACUGGUAACCCUGCCAUAGAGAGAAAAUGUGGCAUAUGAAGAAAAAUAAAUGGAUUUUGGAAUACUGAUAGUGUUAGAUAAUCUGGUCACAUGUCAUUAUUUUCAUUUGCUUCUGAUAUAUUUGUUAUGUUCUACAGAUAUACACUGUGCCCAAACUGAAUGCUAGUUUCAUUAGUUCUAAAAUAUUUCUUUACAUAUAAAAUAGAAUUAUUUUCAUUUUCAAAUCAUUAGUGAACUUUUUGUAUCUGUGCCAAGUUCACAAUAUUAUCCUUUCUUAAAGUGUUGUUGAAUUUAUGACAGGCCUCCACAAUUUGUGAUCCACAAAGCCAAAUACAAAUUACCAACUAUGUUUUAUUGUUUACUAGGUGCUUGGCACUUUCACUGUCUCUGAAGCCCCAUCUCAUGUCAGAAGGUGUACAGGCCUGAUUUAUGGCAUCAAAAUAUUUUUGGGAUGUAUGGAAAUUACAGCUGCUUGGUUGCAACUCAGAGAAACCACCUGUCUCUUUAAUGUCUCACAGCCACCAAGGUUGUAGUAUGGCUUCUCUAUCACUCACCUUUCCUUUCCUCUCCUGUCUGCUGGAGCCAUCAGGACUCAUAUUUCCCCCCACAUCAUAUGAGGUUGGCAAUGGGAUGCUGAGAAUGGGAUGGAGAGAGGUCAGGUAGGAGAAACUGCAUCAGCAGCCAAAAUCACACAUUACAAGCUCCACAGAGCUUUUGCUUAUAAUAGCUUUGCCGUAGAUCACAUGUUCCAUCUUCAUCAUCACCUUUAGGAACACUCCACUCCAUGAAGUGACAUCACUACACUGUGAAUUGCCCCACUCAUGGUCCAUAUCAUUGGCUGAUGCUAGUGAGAGCGUCAAUAGUGAGGGAAACAGACAAUGUGAUGACAUCUCAUCAUGGGAUGAUUGUUCUGACAUAUUAUGGGGAGAGGGGGAAAUCGCUACGUAGAGGUGCCAUUUUCAGCAGCCUUUCAGUAAGAUAUGGAGCAUGUCAUUUUAAAUCUAUAUCAUCCUUUGUAGACGCAGAACUGUUAAGCAGAGAGAAAGAUCCAAGCUGUAACUUUUCCAUAGAAAAGCAAGCACAACUUUUGAAGUUAAGAUUUCAAAAUUAUUUAGGUAGGGCAUGCCAUCAGACCACACAAAAGUGGCUGUUGGAAUGUUCAAUAUGAAACUCUUAUUUACAUAUUGUAAAAUAAAUACAUCUAUUUUCUUCUGUCAAAUGUUGGAGAGUAUAUCACUAUCAAAGAUCGGUGAAUAUGUAUUUCACAGUCUAAGGCCUAUCUAUCUAUCUAUCUAUCUAUCUAUCUAUCUAUCUAUCUAUCCUUCCAGGACCUUCAAAUUAGGGAUUAAAUAUUGGGAAGUUUGUGUACUUGUUCUUAGCAAUUAUUUUUAAAAAUAAGAAACUGGUUUCAAGAAAUCUAGUUAAAUCUAGAACACUUUUUUUUUUUUAAAAGAGUGGGAAAGUGUCUUGAAUAUUUUGCUAUCCACAAUAUGAUUCUUAAAACUAUCCUCAGUUUGAAGUAAGUUUGCUAAUCAUGCUAUUAAGGAAGAGAAGCGUAUCUUAGAAAUAUUAAAAUUGUGUCUGGCAAUGUCACAUUUUGCUAUUAAAACAUAUAUAAUGACUCUUAGAUUAAGCUUGCCAGAUAUGUUUAAUACAUAAGUUAAAUUGCUAAUCCUCAGAAUAGGAGCAGAAGAAAUACAAGACUGCAUUGGGCAGGGAAAAAAAUGCUGUGCAGCAGAAAUUCUAAGAACAUUUUCCUCAAUUUUAUGUACCUGGAAACUGGAAAUGUAUUUUAGUUUUCUAUGCUACACUUUAUGCCUUUCACAUUUGUAGCCUUUCUCCUGUAGCCCAUUAAUAAGACGUAAUAAUAGUUCAGAAUCAAACACAAAAUGAUUACAAUUUUACUUUGUUCUUUGUCACAAUUAUGCAGUUUAUAUAACGAGCAUAGGGUGUAGAAACACACCCUAGUGACCAUAUGCAAUGAGUCAAGGGUAUACUUAGCAAAACACAGAGAUGUGCAGUGCAAUCCUACACGUUUACCUGAAAAUAGGGCUUACGUCUUAGUAAGCACAUUUAGGACUGCAGUCUAAGGGAACCAAAACAUCUCAAUUGCUUCAAAUCACAACUUAGCCAAAUGUAACUGAAAAAUGAAAAUGCAACAUACUGUACAACUUUGCCAAAUUUUUAAAAGUAUAUAUUUUACUGCCAUUCUGUGUUAAUAACAGGACAGGAAAAGAUGGACGUUGCUUUUUAAAUUCUUAUUAACAAUUUUUUAAAUGAUGAAAUUGUUAAAGCCUUAUACAUUUUUGCAAAGUGAUAAUUAAAGUCCCUGAUACUAGGUAUUUCUAAACAAACAAAAUCAUUUGGUUGAAAUUCUAAAUUCAGUUGAAAUCAGUGGAUUCUUGCUUCCAGGUGCAUAUAUUUUGUUCAGGGUGUUUGUCAAAUAUAACUUAUCAAAGGUACACAUACAAGUAUUUCUAAAAUUUACAUGGUGUUAACACCUCUGAGUUUGUAAAUAUGUGUACUCACAGAAACAUUUUGCAUAUGUGCCGAGAUAUAUGUAUAUUUGCAUGUGUACCCCUUCCAAAUCAUUAUUGAUAUCUGUCUGCAGAUAGAUUAUAAGAAGAAACACAGUAUAUCUAACUCUAUAUUUGGAACCAAGUCACUGCUUGAAAGUAGUAACCGCCUAUAUUUAUAUUUCCAUCAGAAGCAUGUUCUAGAAAAACAUGCCCUCCAACAUUCUAAUAUCUUUGCAAACAUUUUAAUCUUGUUUUCCUGUUCAAAUGAAUGCUGAAAAGAUGUGUGUUUGGGUUAGCCCCCUUCAUCCCAAAAAACAUCAAGGUGAGUCAGUCUUUCUCUUUCCUGAGAAAAAGUAUUUUGCAUAAUGAAAAAUUAUUUGGUAGAUAAUUCAUUGUAAUUGUCAGCUAAAUAUAUAUUUCCAUGAAAUUUAAAAAGAGAGAGCAGACACAAACCUUGCACAAUGAUUGAUAUUUAAUUAUUGCAUAUAUCUCGACUAGUUUCAGAAUGUACCAGACUGGUCUAACAGUAAUAGAUUUUUUAAAAAGCAAUGCAGAUAUGAAGAUAUGGAACGUUUACAACAGACUGAAGAUGUAUUUAGGAAAAAUGCUUGAAAAAUACCCACACAGUUUUACCGGUGUAUUUCCAAAUGUACCAAGUGAUCACUGGAGAGUGACACAAAAGUGCACCUUUUCCUAACAAGAGUGGACAGCUGCAUAAAUAUGGGAUACUGAAAACAUCUGUAAUGAAAAUGCCAAAUUGGUUUUAAAUGGAGGCAUCUGUAGCCGGAAAACUGAUGGAAAAAACCAUGACAGAUCAACUUGCUGCCAAAGUCAAUGGAUAUUUUGUGACUGACAUCUGCUGAGCAGGAUCAGACCCCAAUCCGAGAUAAAAUUUCAUUUCAGCCCUAGACAGAAUGAGAGACAAUGGGACAGUUAUUUAAAACAGGCCUGGCUCCAAAAUAUAGAGAGAACAUUAGAAUUGGGAAGCCGCGACUUAGGGAAAAUGUCUUUUUAAAGCUUCUCGUGAACAUUAAACAUGGGAGGAGGAGAGUAUAGACAGAUAUGCGAACAUUUGUGCCCUAUUCAUGGUACAAUACUGUCUCAGCCAGCCACUCCUAUAGAGCGGCACUAUCAUAUGGGUGCAACUGCAGAAAAGUCAGCUUAAAGUCCACUUUAAAAUGCACUUUCUUCUCAUGAAUGAAAAUGGAAUCAUCGUUUUAAAAAUGCAACCUUUACAAAACAAUCGUGCACCUACAUGCAAGGAUGACAGGAGAUACUCUCUGGAGUUUGGUUUGCAUUUAUGAUGCUAUAUACAGGAAUGCAAACAAAAGCUCUUAAGUUGUAAUGCUAAUUACCUACCCAUCUGAUUUGUUACAGCAUUAAAACUAACUUUAUAGCCUAAUUGCUUAAGAAGGAGCACAUUAAAUAUCAUGCUGAAAUCAUUACAUUCAAGUGAUUUACAGCUUCAGAGUCAAGCCCAACUCGAUCUACAUUUAAUAGAAACCCUGAUCCUAAGCACAUUAAUUCAGAUGCAUGCUCCACGGAUAUCUUUCAAGGAAUCACACUGGCUUGCACCAUAAUCCUCAUAUCGAUGAGCUUCAGAAGAUCCUACGUGCUUGGCCCUUGGUGCUUGGCCUCCCAAACAAAGGCGUUGAACUGUUUUAGUCUGUAGGAGCCACCCUUUCCUCCAACAGCUGUGGAAACUUUAACCACGACAAGGAUUUUUGCCCCUUGUGAAACUGUCAAAAGCAAUAAAUAUUUUUCUUCCCCCCCCCCCAUCAUUAGACACUCUUAAGAAUGCGACUCUAUUGUCCACUGUAAUUCCCAGAGCUCACUGGCCAGAAGCUUUAUUGUCCAAAAUGAAUCCUGAAGUGUGAACAAUACUGGAAAAAAAAAUGAGCUACACUUUUUUUCCUUUUUUUUUUGAGGGUGUAACCGUUAGGAAUGUGGUGCGUCUCCAUAGUCAGCUUUGCCAAAAGAGCACUUGUGUUUUUUAACACUGGUCUUUCAGGAGGACGCUCAAGUUAAAGCAUUGUGCCUCACUGUAAAUAGAUGCACUCACUAGAAUAGAGCUUCUUCACUCCUAAUUAGGGAAGUAACUCUAGAAAGACAGAAUGUCACUUGCAAGACUGGAGUCUUUGUUGGGUUUGUGUGCGUCCCCACUAUGUGAGGUAAUUGGAGUUGUACCUUUUAGAAAGCUGCUAAUUUCGCAUAGGAAGUGCUAACAAGACCUUUGUGCGGCAUGUUUUCCUUCUUCCUUUUAAGGAAGUUACAGACCUUGAGUACUGGGAAUGGCUGGGCCGAGCCCUAGAAAAGGAAGCUGCAGUAAUGAACCACUUCAGUUUGCAGUUAGGAAAAGGAGGCCUAAUUUUCAGGCCUGAGAAUACUAGGCUUAACAAAAGGUUCUGUUUAAGCUUAUUAUACGGGACAUUCUUACUGCCUAUACAGCUUUCCUUGCAAUGACCCUCUCAAAAUAAGUACAUCAAGUUUGAGCAAAUAGAAACAUGCAACUUUCCAGGUUUAGGGUAUAGUUUUCUUUACAAAGCCAUUUAUAUAAUGCAAGCUGCAAUUAGCAUGGAACGGAGCAACAAGAUCCAGCUAAGAAAGUUCUUUCAACAAAAGGCUGAGAAUUAGUGGAAUUAAGUAACAGUUAAAUAUUAGCUGCAGAUAACUAGCUGAAAAGGCCUUUCAAAUCAUAUGCAGAUAUAAAACUAAAAUCAUUGCAGUUUAAAACAUCUUUCUAAUCCAAGGAUGAGUUACACAAUUACUGAUUUAUUAAUUCUGCUAAUUUAAAAACAAGAUCAGAUAGAACAAAUCUUGAUUUUUAAAAAAAUUUAAAGCCCCACCCCACCCCCAGCUUUUAAAGCAGAAAUACUGUAUCAUCAAAAUGUCUGUUGGAAUUACAUGUAAAACAUUCAGAUGUAAUGAAAUAAAUUACUACUUGCAUGGAUUAAAAAAAGUCCCCCAAAGCUUUUUUUUAGACUUGAAAUACAAAAGUUAUAAAAACAACCAAGUGAAAAGAAUUAGAAAGUGACCUUUGCAGAUCAGAGGCUAAAAUGAAAAGUCUUCAAGUAAGGAAAAAACCCCAACGUUUUCCUUGCUCAUAAUAGCUUUUAAUGCUUUUUGCUACAUGCAUCUAUUUAAUAAUAGUGGCAAGGUUAGGGUAAACAAUGAAGAGUAUGUUUGCACAUAUUCCACUUUUGGCAUCCAUAUGAAUUUUCUAAAACACUUAAUAGAAUAGAUACAUAAACCUGUGACCUUCAAAUGAGCUUUUUGAUAUUGUCAACACUUUGAAUUAAAAAAAAAGGUCACCAA